rnacentral:lncRNA from 1 species
CCAAAGUCACCACCUGAGGACCAGAGAGGCAAUGGCCAGGAUGCCUGGGGGCAGGAAUUGGCUCGUCCUGCGGCUGGACACAGAAUUUGGGCUGGACGUGUGA